rnacentral:rRNA from 1 species
CAGGGAAUCUUGCGCAAUGGGCGAAAGCCUGACGCAGCAACGCCGCGUGGGUGAGGAAGGCCUUCGGGUCGUAAAGCCCUUUUCUGUGGGGCGAAGAACUGACGGUACCGCAGGAAGAAGCCACGGCUAACUACGUGCCAGCAGCCGCGGUAAUACGUAGGUGGCAAGCGUUGUCCGGAGUUAUUGGGCGUAAAGCGCGCGCAGGCGGUUGGAUAAGUCCAUGGUGAAAGCGCCUGGCUCAACUAGGCGAGUGCCGUGGGGACUGUUCAGCUGGAGUGGAGCAGAGGCGAGUGGAAUUCCGGGUGUAGUGGUGAAAUGCGUAGAGAUCCGGAGGAACACCAGAGGCGAAGGCGGCUCGCUGGGCUUUGACUGACGCUGAGGCGCGAAAGCGUGGGGAGCGAACCG